CACGAUAACAUAAACACUAAACUCAAACUAAUUCAAAUCUAACAUUACAUGAACACAAUACUUAUACGAUCAUGAAAUGAAAUAAACUCGGUUUAAUGGUCCUAUACAAUACAAAACAAUCCAGUUUUAGUUACAAAUGACAAUCCCAUGAAAUUCUGAAAAUACAUGAAAUGCAAUAUGAGAAUAAUAGGGAAACACGUUGCAAUUCAUUUCACUUCCAAAACUUGAGAGCUACACGAUGUGUACCUGGAAAAAAAAUGAAGAGGAGAUGGAAGUCAGCUAAAGCAGCAACUCAACAGUAGCAAUAACCAGUUUUAGAACAAGAAUUAGUAUCACAGUAGCCUAAAUUCAAAAUCAAUUUCAAACUAGCAACAAACAGCCUAACCACUCCUAUAUCAAAUCCCAGAGAAGGCAAACGUAUUUGAACCAGGACCAAAACAAAACCAGUUUUAGAAUAGAUGAAACCCAAAUCAAUAUACUCAUGGUAAUUUCAACCAAGUGCAAACCCAAUACCUCUGAAUCAGACCUUGGAGGGGGGGGGGGGUACAAUUUUUAUCCAUUUUGUACCUGAGAUGAACCAGGAUUGAAGCAAAGGAGCAAUGGAACAGUAUUUUUGUUAGAAUUUUUCCAAUUCCAAAGCGUUUUCAUUAUUCUUUGAUGCUUCAAANN
rnacentral:lncRNA from 1 species